rnacentral:rRNA from 1 species
GACGAACGCUGGCGGCGUGCUUAACACAUGCAAGUCGAACGGUAAGGCCCUUCGGGGUACACGAGUGGCGAACGGGUGAGUAACACGUGGGUGAUCUGCCCCGCACUUCGGGAUAAGCCUGGGAAACUGGGUCUAAUACCGGAUAGGACCCUGGGAUGCAUGUCCUGGGGUGGAAAGCUUUUGCGGUGUGGGAUGGGCCCGCGGCCUAUCAGCUUGUUGGUGGGGUGAUGGCCUACCAAGGCGACGACGGGUAGCCGGCCUGAGAGGGUGACCGGCCAAGCUGGGACUGAGAUACGGCCCAGACUCCUACGGGGGGCAGCAGUGGGGAAUAUUGCACAAUGGGCGCAAGCCUGAUGCAGCGACGCCGCGUGAGGGAUGACGGCCUUCGGGUUGUAAACCUCUUUCAGCACCGACGAAGCGCAAGUGACGGUAGGUGCAGAAGAAGGACCGGCCAACUACGUGCCAGCAGCCGCCGUAA